UAGGGGGUAGGAGGUAGGAGGUGGAGUUUGUACAUUAUGGGUUGGGGAUUGGUUGGGUUGGCUCUUUGGAUUUGGAUGAUUUGGGGUAUUGUUAUUAUAUCUGAAUGGACGUUUGGUUUGGGUUUGGAGUAUUAUGUUAUUGUAUGAACUUGAUUUGUAUGAUAUGGUAACGCUUUUGAGACCACCCCCCCCCCUCGAACAUUGUUCUUCUGUUUUUCUCCUUCUAUUUUUUUCAACUUCAGAAUUCUCUUCAACACGCAGCAACAAAAAAAUAAAAAUUUUUAAAAAGGAGAUGAGGUUUGCAGUUUGAAAUAAAACGAUCCGGUGCAACUUUUCCACAGGUAGUCAGAAUAAUGCUAUACCGAGAUACAGCCGCUCAUAAUCCUCCAAUGAAUGAUUGAGCGCAGAAACCGUGCGAUAUAGCUACUAAACUAUACAAAAGAAUGACAAGGUAUAUAAUAUAUAUUCAUGUGUAAAGGAAAAAAAAAAAAAUAAGGAAGUAAAAGCACUUUGCAGCCAUGCAUAUUCAACUAAAACAGGAAAUAUACGUAAUAUACCUUCACAAAUAGAAACAGAGGAAAAAAGCAGCUGUAUGUGCCAUAUAUCUGUAACUAAUAUGUAAUAUAUCAUUAACAAAAC
rnacentral:sRNA from 1 species